GACGAACGCUGGCGGCGUGCUUAACACAUGCAAGUCGAACGGUGAACGAGGGAGCUUGCUCCCUCCGGAUCAGUGGCGAACGGGUGAGUAACACGUGAGCAAUCUGCCCCGAACUCUGGGAUAAGCGUUGGAAACGACGUCUAAUACCGGAUACUACGCGGGAGGGCAUCCUCUCCGCGUGGAAAGAACUUCGGUUCGGGCUGAGCUCGCGGCCUAUCAGCUUGUUGGUGAGGUAACGGCUCACCAAGGCGACGACGGGUAGCCGGCCUGAGAGGGUGACCGGCCACAAUGGGACUGAGAGACGGACCAGACGGCUACGGGAGGCAGCAGUGGGGAAUAUUGCACAAUGGGCGCAAGCCUGAUGCAGAAACGCCGCGUGAGGGACGACGGCCUUCGGGUUGUAAACCUCUGUUAGCAGGGAAGAAGCGAAAGUGACGGUACCUGCAGAAAAAGCACCGGCUAACUACGUG
rnacentral:rRNA from 1 species